rnacentral:tRNA from 1 species
GGAAUAGCUCAGUAUAGAGCAUGUGCUUAGCAUGCAUAAGGUGCUGGGUUCAAUUCCCAGUACCUCCA